rnacentral:rRNA from 1 species
CCUACGGGAGGCAGCAGUGGGGAAUUUUGGACAAUGGGCGAAAGCCUGAUCCAGCAAUGCCGCGUGAGUGAAGAAGGCCUUCGGGUUGUAAAGCUCUUUUGUCAGGGAAGAAACGGUGUGGGCUAAUAUCCCGCACUAAUGACGGUACCUGAAGAAUAAGCACCGGCUAACUACGUGCCAGCAGCCGCGGUAAUACGUAGGGUGCAAGCGUUAAUCGGAAUUACUGGGCGUAAAGCGUGCGCAGGCGGUUUUGUAAGUCUGUCGUGAAAGCCCCGGGCUCAACCUGGGAAUUGCGAUGGAGACUGCAAGGCUUGAAUCUGGCAGAGGGGGGUAGAAUUCCACGUGUAGCAGUGAAAUGCGUAGAGAUGUGGAGGAACACCGAUGGCGAAGGCAGCCCCCUGGGUCAAGAUUGACGCUCAUGCACGAAAGCGUGGGGAGCAAACAGGAUUAGAUACCCUGGUAGUCCACGCCCUAAACGAUGUCUACUAGUUGUCGGGUUUUAAUUAACUUGGUAACGCAGCUAACGCGUGAAGUAGACCGCCUGGGGAUACGGUCGCAAGNUUAAAACUCAAAGGAAUUGACGGCUGAGAGNGCGACGACGACGACGAGGGAGGAGG